ACGUAAUAGAUACCCGGGUAGUCCACGCCCUAAACGAUGUCUACUAGUUGUUGGUGGAGUAAAAUCCAUGAGUAAACGCAGCUAAACGCGUGAAGUAGACCGCCUGGGGAGUACGGUCGCAAGAUUAAAACUCAAAGGAAUUGACGGGGCCCGCACAAGCGGUGGAUUAUGUGGAUUAAUUCGAUGCAACGCGAAAAACCUUAACCUGGCCUUGACAUGCCACUAACGAAGCAGAGAUGCAUUAGGUGCCCGUAAGGGAAAGUGGACACAGGUGCUGCAUGGCUGUCGUCAGCUCGUGUCGUGGGAUGUUGGGUUAAGUCCCGCAACGAGCGCAACCCUUGCCACUUAAUUGCCAUCAUUUAAGUUGGGCACUUUAAUGGGACUGCCGGU
rnacentral:rRNA from 1 species